rnacentral:rRNA from 1 species
GAUGAACGCUAGCGGUAGGCCUAAUACAUGCAAGUUGAACGGUGUCUUCGGACAUAGUGGCGCACGGGUGCGUAACACGUAUGCAACCUACCUUACAUUGGGGGAUAGCCUUUCGAAAGGGAGAUUAAUACCGCAUAAGACAGUAGCUGGGCAUCCAGCAGCUGUUAAAGAUUUAUCGAUGUAAGCUGGGCAUGCGUCCAAUUAGCUAGUUGGUGAGGUAACGGCUCACCAAGGCAAUGAUUGGUAGGGGAACUGAGAGGUCAAUCCCCCACACUGGCACUGGGAUACGGGCCAGACUCCUCCGGGAGGCAGCAGUAGGGAAUAUUGGGCAAUGGACGCAAGGCUGACCCAGCCAUGCCGCGUGCAGGAUGAAUGCGUUAUGCGUUGUAAACUGCUUUUAUACAGGAAGAAACGACUCUUGCGAGAGGCAUUGACGGUACUGUAUGAAUAAGCACCGGCUAACUCCGUGCCAGCCGCCGCCGUAAUAC